rnacentral:rRNA from 1 species
UGAGUAUCACGUGGGUAACCUGCCUGUAAGCUUGGGAUAACUCCGGGAAACCGGUGCUAAUACCAAAUAAUAUUUCUGUUCGCAUGAACGGAAAAUAAAAGGCGGCUUUUGCUGUCACUUACAGAUGGACCCGCGUCGCAUUAGCUAGUUGGUGGGGUAAAGGCUCACCAAAGCAACGAUGCGUAGCCGACCUGAGAGGGUGAUCGGCCACACUGGGACUGAGACACGGCCCAGACUCCUACGGGAGGCAGCAGUAGGGAAUCUUCCGCAAUGGACGAAAGUCUGACGGAGCAACGCCGCGUGAGUGAUGAAGGUUUUCGGAUCGUAAAACUCUGUUGUUAGGGAAGAAUAAGUACUAACCGAAUAAGUUGGUACCCUGAUGGUACCUAACCAGAAAGCCCCGGCUAACUACGUGCCAGCAGUCGCGGUAAUACGUAGGGGGCAAGCGUUGUCCGGAAUUAUUGGGCGUAAAGGGCGCGCAGGCGGUUUCUUAAGUCUGAUGUGAA